rnacentral:lncRNA from 1 species
AGAUUUCAAAAUAGGUACAAUACUAAUGAAAGCUCUCGUUUGACUCCUUCAAUUCAGUCCCCCUUUCCCUCAAUUCCCCGCAGCCAAUGGCAAUGACCACGCCAUAACGCUGCCGUUCACUACCGUUAACCGCCGUUCCCUCCCUUUCCUAUUUCCGCUAUUCGAAAGCCAAGUUCCCGCAUUUUCGCUUCAACGAGAAUCGAGGCUUCUGAGAAAUUCUCCUGAUUCGUUUCUCGAUCGUAAGGUGGUAUUCUUCACUUCGUCAAGUAUCCUGGACUCGGAAAUGAUUUCAUAUUUGUGAGUUUUGCAUAAAAGUGAGUUAUUCUGUUNNNNNNNNNNNAUAGUUGUUCCUUUUUUUCCCCCCCCCCCCCCCCCCUCUUAUUUUCUAGGAGUUAAGCGUAGCCUUAUUAACUUUUAUAUUUAUACAUGUAAACACGAAUGAGAAUUUGUAAAUUAAUUAGGAUAGGUUUGAUAUCUCGUUAUAUCCUGACAUUUUUGGUCUGUUGAUUUGGUUAGGUUGACAGUCGAGCACUGUCGAAGCCAGACAUUUUGGGAUAAAAAAAUUAAGAUGCAAUUUUUAUGAAACGCUAUACUGUUAAUGAAAACAAGUCAACACAUUACUACAAUUGUAGCUAUUUUUCAAAUUUGAAAACUUCAUAUAAUUACAUUAUCAAUAUUAUCAAAUAUAUCGAUCUCAGUAUAUGUCACUAAACUAUAACUUAACCAUUGAUCUCCCAUUCGAUUACGCAAUUGAUUUUAGAUAAUCUUCAUUGUAGAAUGUACUAUAUGUCACUAAACUAUAACUUAAGAUUUUCAUGAGUGCGCAUAUCAAUAGUAUAUAUUUGAAUCUCCAGUGUCAAGAUCUCUAUUGGUUUAAAAUUUUUUAGAUAAUAUUCACACAAUUGAAUUAACUUGUCUUUACUGAAAGUAGAAAAUGAAUUAUGCUGACACAAACAUGUAAUACAAAAGAGUAAGUCACUAUUUAUCUCGGCAAAAUGAUCAUUCAACUCUUUCUCAAAAAAGGUAAAACAAUUUACAUUUGCUCCUUCACUGAAGCAUUACCAAUAUCAAUAGGUUGAGUUCCAUAAGCAGUAAACUUUAUUGCAAAUAAUAUUUAUAGAUCUAUUCACUUUCCAUGUACACAUGGAAAUUCUCAGACUAGGUUCUAUAUGUAAUUUUUGCAUGUUUUCAGUCUCCUUUUUAUCCAACUGUAAAGGAGAAAAUUCUGAUUUCAAAUUUUCCUUUUAAUGGCACAUAAAAUGUGAAGAAUUUGUUUUGUUUCUAGUUUUUCCUUUCAUUUGCUUACUCCUUACUAUAUUUCAUUAAACAAAUAGGGCCUUCGCGUAUAAAAUAAAUAAGUGAUCCAGUGUUCACAAAUCUGUUUUUAUCCUGGUCCUGAUGGGUUCCUUUUUCUUUUUGUUGUCACAGAUGUGUGGCAAUGAAGUUCGAUGUUUUACUAGAUUCAUAACCGGACUUGAAAAUUUACAAGAAAAGCAGAGUUUACACAUUGUUUUUCUCAAUUAUUUUCAAGAUUUUUCUUGCACUAGCAUAUGAUUGCCUCGUAAGAAUGAACCAUCUCGCUGUCUGUUGUAAUAAUCUGUAAGGUUUAAGUAUUUAACAUUUUAUAUGACAUUUGUUGUUUGGAAGUGGUUAUGAUUUAAAACUGUUUUCUUUACCUUUUGAUGAUAUAAUGUGGCUUUGUUAAUGAAGAAAUUGCAAGUGUUUUAAGAAUUUUAGGUAGUUGAACUUUUGGUAGCUAAUAGGCAACUUCCUCCUUUAUUUGUUUUCUGAUGUAGAUCUUUUACAUUAAACAUAAUGUUGCGUGUCAUCCUGAGCAAAUCCUCCAUUGAGCUUUUGUUUAUGGAAGAAGUAUCCUGCAGCACAUAGAUCUUCUUAUAUGAAAUUACCCCCUGUGCUGAAACCCCAAUUCUUGAACUAAUUGUUGAUUUUACCAAAUGUUAGAAUGGAAUUUCUACUAGCUAUUUAGUGUCCAGAAUGGUGAUACUUCCGUCAGUUAUAUUAUUUCAAGUGAUUGACUGAUUCUAAUGUUUCUAUUUCUAUUAAAGUUUGCACCUGAACAUAUUGCAGCUGAUUAAGUUUCAUGUACUGAUACUUUUGCAAGACUAAUAUAACUGUCAUCUGUUAAUUGGUCUUGCAGCUUCACUGUUCAUACAGGUGCUGGUUUAAUUGUUUCUGAAAUUCAAGGAGAUGGAAAGGUACUCUGAAUUUUCUUAAUGCGAUUUAGUAACUAAGUUAUUUUUCUUGUGGGCAAUAAAUGUUCUAGUGAAUACGCUUAGAGUCAACUUCCUUGUAGUUGCUUUAUGAUAGAAAUGCUUUGCAGCAUAAGCAGGGGCGGAUUUAGGGGACGGCGAGCAAGGGCGGCUGCCUAGCUGGAUUUGUCGAGGAGUAUUUUUUUUUAAUAGAUAGAAUUUUUGGAUUAUAUAUUUGAUAAUUCAUAUUAACAACAAACAUUUCUGGUAGCUCAACCGAUUAGCCCUUUCAUUAUUGAAUUGGUGGUCUUGUGUUCGAAACUCUUCAAGAGUAAUAAUUUUUAUAAUUUUUGUAUUUCAACAAUUUUUACCAAAACAAAUGUAAGGAAGGUGAUUUUAACCUGCUUCCUUCCUUAAACAUAUUAACACUUUACCAUCAUGGUACUUAUUGAUUUUUAGCACAUAACGUAACAAAAUAAUAUAUGCUCUAUUUUACUGGUUUAAUGCAAGUUGAAACAUUUUAACCGGUGCUUUGUCCUUCUUCCUGAUUUUCUUUUUCUUUACUUUUCCUUUCUUUUUUCCCUCUAAUCAAUUGAUUUGAGAGUUUGGUCAAUUAAUAGUGGAUAAAUUUGUAGGAAAAAUUGGCCUUAGUGUCAUAAGAAAUCUUUCAACAAAAUUUAUUUAAUUAAUAAAGGUUCCACUUUUCUUUCACAAAAAAUCGAUUGCGAGAAAGUGGAAUCAUACAAGCACAUAAAAUUGAUUUAAGCACAUAAAUAUUUUCAAUUUUGUUAAUAUAAUUUUUUUUUUUUUUGAUAACUAUGGGUGUUCGGGCCAGCUUAGGCACACCUCGAAUAAUCCCACGGGACCUUGAAAUUUACAGGCGGGUACUCACCUUAGUGGUCUUGAGAGGACUUGAACUUAUGACUAUUGGGGAGCAAACCCAAAGCCUGACUACUGAGCUACCCUUUAGGGUUAAUUUUGUUAAUAUAAUAAUGCUUGUUUAAUUAACUUUAAUUGUAAACUGAACAUUGACAUUUUCUUAAUAUAUGUUGCCUAUUAAAUUUAAAAUUAAUUAGGGCAUUUUGCCAAUUAUGGAACGAUUUUUUCAUCUAAAAUGAAAGUUCGUAACUAGUUCUAGUGGUAUAUCUAGUUCUUUUAGUUUUAAUCCAUACGAUUUUUUGAAUAUUAUUUAAUUAAAUAUUAAUAAACAACCCCGUUAUCACAUACGUUGGCCUUCGAUAGUAAGCUUUCACUACUCGUGGUCCGCCCUAACUAAACUCAACCCUUGUAUUCGCUCCUGAGCAUAAGAAAAUAACAUUAUAGCUUCAUUGUUAAGUUAUUAAUUUACACGUCUUUGGUUAAAAUGUUGGAUUAAAAUUGAUAUGUGAGAGACAAUUCUGAAGGCAUCUGAAGUUCCUACUAAGUUACCUGCAAAUAAAGAUCAAUCUGUAGUUAAGUCAAAAUUAGAUGUAGAUGGGAUAACCUGGAAUGUUACAUGUGUUAGCAUGGAAAAUCCUCAGUGUCACUUUUGGUACAGGAGUGAGUCAAGUAUGUAUCUCUAGAAGACUGUUUACUGGUUCAAUAGGUCAGUGAAGUUCUUGUGUGAUAUAAGAUGAUAUACACUCUCCUUUGGCUUAUUAUGCAACAGGAUUUGCAAGUUGAUGAACUAAAACUUAGAAGCAAUUGGACCAGAAUUUGAACAUUAUUUAAUGUUCCCUGCCUGAACAAACACAGGUGCCAGUUUUACUUUCAAUUCAAGAAAACUGCAUCUGCUACUGGUAGUGCUAAGUAUAGAUCCUGUCAGAUCUACCCUAAAUACAGACAUGGUCGCACACAGUUGUACGUGGAUGAUCACUGACAAUUGUGUGAUUUAGAAAUAAAUAUCUGGUGUCGGCUUAAUGUUUCAGGAUCUAUUAGAAAUUAAGAUUAAAGGGUUGCAAUGUACAAUUAUUAUGCACUUGCAAGAUUUGAUUGUAGUACAGUAUUAUCUUUUGCAGAAUUUGUUCUUCUCCCUAUGCACCUCAAAAUGCAGGUCUGGGAUAGAGGGCAGGUUAGCAUUUAUCCGUUUCGGUUUAUGCAUUAUCUAAAUUAGUGGCACUAUCUUUAUCCAAAUACAUUCAUGCAACCAAAUUUCCCAACUCCACUAACUUUGCACUUUCCUCAGCCACCAAUCCCCUGCCAUAUUCACUGCUAUAUCCACCUUGGCACUCACCAUCGCCAAACUGUUUUCACUCUCUUCUCUGUUUACAAUUAUAUUCCUUAAAUUUUAAUGUACGCUUGCAUUAAUUUGUAUCUGUAAAUUGUCGUGCAUGUUCAUAACCUCUUCAUAUUCGGCUACGUCUGCAUCAUUCCCUUGUAUCAAUGUGUAUGUGCGUAAAUUUUCUUGUGAUUGACACCUUAUAUCAAUGGAUUCUUUCAAUCCAUUAGACUAGUGAUUUUCAUCCCUACUCUUAUCGACCAUCCAAAUUGCUUAAACAUCUAGUGCGUAUCUCUACAAGAUCAACUAAAUUUUAAUCAAAAUUUUGAAUUACCUAGUUUGGCUAUGCAUUUCACAAUGGUUUUUCAAAUUGCUCUACCCCUCUUGAAUAUGUAACUGCUAGAGACAGACGUCUAUUUGAUCCUGUUAGCACUAGUGUAAAGGACGAAAUCUAUGUUAAAGAGAUUUGCAUUCACAUACUAAUAUAAAUAAUGCACCAAUAUUUCCAACAGUAACUGUGACGUGAACCUGGGUCUACAGGUGCAACACUAGCAUGUUGAACAUGAGCUCGUGCUAGUGUUGCUGCCGUGCUCAAGGGUCAAGCUGAGAGGGUAAGUUUUGAACGGAUGUCGUUCAGCAUUCAUUAUAAAUUUAAUCUGUUGCACUUGAUAAUGAUCAACUCUUGGUUGUCCUUUGCUUUGCCUGGUGCACAGCUCUCAUUUUCUCCUAAUAUUUUUCUCACUCUUGAAAACAGAGUUGUACUGACUUCUUGUCUGGAGGACCUCGGAAGUAAUCUUUCAUGGAUCAAUUCCUCUCUACGUCCUUUGUUUUUAGAUUGAGAAGAGAAUUUUUUUGGGAAAUAAAGAAGCAGUUCCUAUUCGUUCUAGUGUUGUAUUUCUAAACUUCGAGACAAGGGAUAAGUUUGGGUACCAUUGCUACAUACACUUUGAGUAAAAUCCAAACGUCGAAUCAAGUAUCCUCUAGAAAAGGGACUUGCUACUUUUGAGUCAGAUCAAACCUUAAAAUCAGUCUGCAAGAUAAAGUAUUCAAUGUGAUUAUAAGGCUAAAAUUCAAAAGUAAGAGUGAAAAGGUACUUGGGAGGUAAAUUUCGU